CCUACGGGUGGCUGCAGUGGGGAAUAUUGCGCAAUGGGGGAAACCCUGACGCAGCAACGCCGCGUGAGUGAGGAAGUAUCUCGGUAUGUAAAGCUCUAUCAGCGGGGAAGAAAGAGGACGGUACCCGACUAAGAAGCCCCGGCUAACUACGUGCCAGCAGCCGCGGUAAUACGUAGGGGGCGAGCGUUAUCCGGAUUUACUGGGUGUAAAGGGAGCGUAGACGGCGUCGCAAGUCUGAAGUGAAAUGCCGGGGCUUAACCCCGGAACUGCUUUGGAAACUGUGCAGCUAGAGUGCAGGAGAGGUAAGUGGAAUUCCUAGUGUAGCGGUGAAAUGCGUAGAUAUUAGGAGGAACACCAGUGGCGAAGGCGGCUUACUGGACUGUAACUGACGUUGAGGCUCGAAAGCGUGGGGAGCAAACAGGAUUAGAUACCCGGGUAGUC
rnacentral:rRNA from 1 species